rnacentral:lncRNA from 1 species
AUGGGUAUGUGUAUUUUGCCCCCGCGUCGCCUCCCCUACGGGCGACACGGGAGGCGGAAACCGCUGGCGUCGCCCACUCCUCCCCCCUCCUCCCUCUGCCGCCUCGCCGCGCGGCCGCAAGGACGGCGGUGGCGGGGCUUCACCCUUGUCUUCGUCUCUCUCUCCCGUCACGGUGGGGGGCCGCGCGUGGGACGCGCGAAGACCGCCCAGAUCCAGGCCACCACGGCCGGAUCUAGCGGGGAGGCCGCCGGUGGCGGGUCGAUGGCGGCGGGGAUGGAGGUGGCGGCGAGGUUGGCGACGGAGGCCGGAUCUGGCGGCGAGGCUGGCAUCGGCGACCAGAUCCAGGCGUUGGAGAUGGUUUUGCCCCGGUGGCGGUUGCGACGGCAGCGGAGAGCUCGGCGACGGCGUUGGGGCGGUUGCGUUGGUGGUGCCGGCGGUUUGCGACGACGACUGCUGGCGUCGAUGGCUGGUGACAGUGGCAUCAGCGACGGCGGCCGACUUGCAGCGGCUGUGACUGAGGAUACGGUGGCGACGUCGAAGGAUGCGGCAGUGGAGGCGGGGAAGGAGUUGGGUGUGAGGUGACAGCGGCGAC